AGUGAACGCUGGCGGUAGGCCUAACACAUGCAAGUCGAACGGCAGCACAGUAAGAGCUUGCUCUUACGGGUGGCGAGUGGCGGACGGGUGAGGAAUACAUCGGAAUCUACUUUUUCGUGGGGGAUAACGUAGGGAAACUUACGCUAAUACCGCAUACGACCUACGGGUGAAAGCAGGGGAUCUUCGGACCUUGCGCGAUUGAAUGAGCCGAUGUCGGAUUAGCUAGUUGGCGGGGUAAAGGCCCACCAAGGCGACGAUCCGUAGCUGGUCUGAGAGGAUGAUCAGCCACACUGGAACUGAGACACGGUCCAGACUCCUACGGGAGGCAGCAGUGGGGAAUAUUGGUCAAUGGGCGCAAGCCUGAUCCAGCCAUACCGCGUGGGUGAAGAAGGCCUUCGGGUUGUAAAGCCCUUUUGUUGGGAAAGAAAAGCAGCAGGUUAAUACCCCGCUGUUCUGACGGUACCCAAAGAAUAAGCACCGGCUAACUUCGUA
rnacentral:rRNA from 1 species